CUGAGAUUUUACCGUUGUCAAUGUUUUAAAUAAAUAAGUACAUAAAGAGAAAUAAUAUCUUCAGAUAAGAAUCUAUUUUGGCCUGUGACUCCAAAAUCCAAAAAGUGUGUGUGUGGGUCAUCAACAUUUGGGGGCGGAUUCACACAUGGGUUGUGUUUAAGCAGACGGUCUUAAUAGGUUAAUAUUUGCUGUUGCUCUGUAGUAGUUACAUUUAGUGGUUUGCAGAUAUCGCCCUGUAAGGAGCUGAAUCCAAAACCUGUAAAUUCAAUAAGACUAAUCUGAGAAGGGAUAUCCAAAGGAACAAAAGAGUAAAUAACACACUCCCCCCUGUUGCCUUUAUGACACCCUUCUCACCUCUGUGUAACCCGGACUAACUUUUGUUCCAGGUUUACAAUUAUUUUUGUAUAUAUUUAUAAAUAGUUUUGUUUAUUAUUGGAAGUUCAUGCACAUAUAAUUGUUAAUUUAAAUUAAGUAAUUAAAAAAAAGAAAAGUACGUAGACGUGACGUAGUUGACCAAUGAGCCGCUUUAUGCGUUUUUUUUCUCUGACGAGGAAGUAGAAUGAGGAAACCGCGGAGAAAGGUUGCGUAGUUGAAGUAGAGCUCCUGAUUAAGGAAAAUAUACUUUACAAAAGUAAAGUAAAGAUUUUGUUUUUGUAGCGAUUCAAGAGGGGAGAUUUUGAUUGCUAACAUCCAGUUAUUAUUUUCGUUUCAAAGGAUUUUGUUUUUUGAGUUUCGCGAGGGAAUACUGGAUAUGGUCAGGUUUUUUCUGUGGAUUUGCGUUGGAUGUUUUCUUUGAUGGCGAGCCGACCGAAUCGAAUCUGAAAGGAGACCAAAGUUACCAGAACUGGAAAUUUACCUUUUCUCUUCAAAAGGAAAGGAUUUCAGAAGACAUUGUGGACAGUGAAUUACUGCUACGUCGUUGGAUUUGAGAUAAGUGAUUGACAAACGGAACUAAUCUCAAAAGAUUUGAACAGGUUUGAACCUACUCCGAAAGAGGAUUCUUUAAGGGAUAUAUUUUGUACGGUGAAUGUCGAUUAUAUAUCCGAAAAUUACAGUUAAUUCAUUGUGUGAGUAACAGAAAAUAUACCACCAAAGAUUCAUUUGAGUACUCAAGGAACCAGUGUUAUUUUCAUUUCAAUUUUAUAUUGGAAUCUGUUUUAUUUACGUUGUGAUUUGUUUAUUUUUUUCUUUUAUUUUGUUUUAUUAUUUUAUUUAUUAUGUUUUAUAUACUUAGGGGGUAAUUUGAUUAAAAGUAUACUUGCUAUAAAACCUGA